UCUAUGCGAUAUUUUUGGUAAUCCCAAAAUUUUAUGAUCCCAAAUAAACGAAAGGACAAAAAAAUGUGAAUUACCCACUUUUGUUAAUUCCCGUAAACAGACUUAUUUACCUGGUUCAGGUACCACAACCACUAACUGUUUACCAGAUGGUGUUUCACUUACCAACCAGUUGUGUCCGAGUAGCGAAAGAAUAAAGAACUGAAUUUAGUCAGUUGUAAGGAAUACAGUGUAUUAAAAUUAUGCUGAAAUUAACAAAUAGAAGAUUUUUGUCUUGCAUGAAACUCUCAGCAGGAUCUUUUUCAAAUACUAAUAUAAUUUGCCAAAGGUUGUUGCCUCGUCUAUCUGCUAUGCUUAAGAAAAGUAUUUCACAAAAUCAUGGCGACUAUAAACCUAUUCCAUAGAAAAUCAAACUGAUUUUAAUCAAAGGGUCAUGAAAAGUGAUCAUCCCGUUGUUGUUGACUUCCAUGCCAAUUGGUGUGAUCCCUGUACUAAAUUAACACCCAAAAUGUGUGCUUUGUUGGAUAAUUCAGAGAAAUCGAUUUGGCCAUAAUCGAUGUGGAGAAGAAUACCGAACUUGUGGAUACUUUCAAUAUACAAUCGGUACCGACUGUCUUCACUGUUCGUAAUGGAGAAAUUGUACACAAAUUUAUUGGGCUGGUUGAGGCAAAUAUUUGAAAUCCAUGGUUGAUACAUUGAAAAGUAAAAACACCUCGAACUCCUCGAAAUGUGAAGAUGUUCCUGAAGAUACUUAAUAUUUUAAAUUACUUUAAGUUUUUUUCUCUCAAUUUUACCAGAUUUACAUUAGUUUUAGUAUUAGUUAAAAACAAAUAAAAAGAAAAUUGCCUGUCUGCAAAAA